AAAAAUUAACUUACUAUUUUUGUAAAAUAGUUAUUUUAGAGAAUUAUCUUUUACUUUAGUAUUUUAUUAAAAAAGUUUUUUUAGUAAUAGUGUAUUAGUACUGUAGGUUAAUGUUGAAAUAUAUUGAAAAUUUAUUUUUAUCAAAGCAUACAUUCUUGUAGUACCUUU
rnacentral:rRNA from 1 species